GACAGAGACAGAAAGGGAAAAUGAAAUCCAUAUGGCACCUUGAGCCAAGGAAUGAGAUCCUAGAAAGCAAAACACUUUCAAGGCAGAAACCCCCACCUGCAGAACAAGGCAGGUCCUGAGCAGCCAUGGAAGCUGGCUCCAGGAAUGGAAGAGCUUUGUAGGGAUUAGAAAAAGAUGCCCUCCCGGGUACACACAACUCCCCUGGCGAAGAUUUCCUCCUUCUUCCUGUUGGAAAACUUGUCCUCAACCUCAGGGUCAG